rnacentral:rRNA from 1 species
AUAUAGAGCCAUAGCAGCCUGAGAACGCCCCGUCUGGUCUGCUCUGGGAAGCUAAGCAGGGUCGGGCCCGGUCAGCGCUUGGAUGGGAGACCAGGUGGCCGAGCGGGCUGCGUGUG